ACGAAAUCAUCUUUAAAGAACUUUAGAAAUUUGUCCAACUAUCCGGCAGACAUCUUUAAAAGUUUCCUUUAUAAAAAAUAAUCAAUUUUUAAUCAGCACAUCAAUUAAAUUUAUCAAACUUACUAAAUUUGAAUUUCGGUUAAUGGAGCUAGUUUAAUGGCCAAGGAAUACCAACACAACAACAGGUUAUACAAUCUGUCAUGCGACAGCAUAUAGAUAUAUGCGCUUUCUUUCGCAUACAUACUCGCUAAUUGGCUACGCCAUUUUGUAUUCAAUCAAUCAAAACUUGGCUCACUUUGGCCAGUCUUUUAGGCCCGAUCUACAAAAGAUGGAGUAAGGAGUAGGAGUAGGAGCAGCUCUAUCCGACUUUCCUGCCUAUACAAAACUGUGUCACGUAAUAACGAAAAAGUUGCAGGUGGCGCUACUAUCGACUUGGCCUGUAAAUAUAUAUAGAUUAUAAGUGACGGUAAACGUUCGCAAAAUUGGAAUGUUUAAUAAUUAUACGUACAAGUUUAGUGGUAAAACUGUUAUUUAUAGUGAUAAAUUGUAUUGCUGUACAGCUAAAAUAAGAUAUCAAAUGUGAUUUCAUUAAAAAGGCCUUAUAUUAAGGACAAUGCAGUACCCUCAUUAUUUCCUUGGACAGAAUUUAUAAAUAAUGAUAAAAAAUAAUGACAAAAAUAAUUAUAAAAAUAAUGAUAAUGAUAAAAGAGAAAGUGUAUCUUUUAUGACAAAAUCAGAAAAUAGUAUAGAAAAUACAGGAAGUGCGUUAUUAAAUAAUAAUAUGAAAAGGAAAGAAAGCUCAGAUAUUCUAACAUUUAACGAGUUGAAAUACAAUGAUAAACUUUAUAUUCCAACUGGUUGGAAUAGAAAUAUAUUACCAUUGAAAAAUGCCUGUCAUCAUAUUUAGUUAAAUGAUGUGUAAAUUCAUUGAGACUGAAAGUCAGUUAAUUUGCAUUAAAGAAAUAUGGAUAACUGAGGAUAUGAAAGUUCAAGUAAAAGCUUUAGGAAAGCCUAUUGAUUUAAAUAUAUUUGGUAUAAAUUUUUAUUAUAAUAUUAAAUAUAUUUGGUAUAAAUUUGGUAUAUAUUUGGUAUAACGAGAUUGUAUUAUCACUAAGUAUAUUAGAAGAUUUAAUUAAAAUGGUCGAGAUCUUCAACAUAUGCAAAACUUAUACAAAUAACUAUGAAGUUGAAUAAACAAGUAUAGCAAUAAAAGAAAGCAAUAAUAUACUAAAACAUAAAAAAUGUCCUAUAAUAUUGGAAAAUUCUAUUCAAUAUAACUUUUGUAAAAAUUUUGAAGUAUACUUUAGAAAAAAAAGGAAACUUUCUAAUGACAGAGGAAGUGAAGUAAAAAAAAUUAGAGCAGAUAAGUUAACUCCAACAAAGAAAAAUUUGAUCGAUAACAUUAGAAAACAGAUAUACAAUGUAAUGAAGUGUAAAAAUCGUAAAAUAUGUACUAUUCAGAAACUGCAUAGAGAGAUUGAAAAGAUACGAAAAAAUGUACAGACAACAAAUGAAAAAAUGUUAAAAAAUGCAAUGGCAGGGAAAGGUAUUUCGAUUAAUGAACAAGAAGCUCUGAAAGAAAUAUUAUCAUCUUCAUCGAGAAAGAGUGCAAAAGGCAGGCGUUAUUCUGAUAAAUAGAUUUUAUUAUGUUUACUUCUUCAUAUGAAAUCUCUAAAAGGAUAUGACUUUAUUUUAAAUAAUAAAAUAUUGUCACUAUCUUCCCUUAUAGAAAAGUAUCACUGGCUGUGAUAAAUUGGCCAGUAAUAAAUAGUAAUUUUAUUACUCGUACGAGUAAUAAAAUUAUUGAACGACAGUAAUUAUCACUGGCCAAAUUAUCACUUAUCAGUAUUAAAUUUUUAUAAGGAUUCUCCAAGUACUAUAUGCAGAUAUUUAUCUUGCAUUACAUCAUGCUGUGGAUUUAAUUCAAGUUUUUUUGAAAUGUUCAAAACUAAAAUGUUAGAAAUAAAUGAAAAUGAGAGACAUGGAAUAUUAUUGAUAGAUGAAAUGGCCACAUGCGAAAGUGUAUAUGUAAACUAAAAAAAUUUAACUUUUUCCGGUUUAGUUGAUUUUGGAGAAAGCUAAAAGUUUUAACGACAAAGUAAACCAUGGACUGGUAUUCAUGUAUCAGCCAUUUCAUACUGUACAUGCAGCACAAUCUAUAUGUGUGUUUGCUUCAAAAGGACCAACUGAAGGAACUAUAUUGGCAGAACUUAUUGUUAAAGCAAUUGUUUUAUUAGAAAAUUCUGGAGCUAAAAUUCACGCUAUUGUUACUGAUGGAGCAGCAACGACGAUAGAAAAUUUUGGAAUGUAAUAGGCAUUUCAGGAAGAAAUUUCACGAAUUAAAAACUUGGUUUACAUAUGUCACUGACUCAUCAAGAAAAAUUUUUAUAUUCUCUAACACACCACAUUUUAUAAAAACUAUACGAAACCGAUUAUACAAUAAGAAUCUACAAAUACGUGCAUGUGAAACUAGAAGACCUUUCAUUUCUCUCUAACAUUUUGAAAAAUUAUAUGAAAUAGAACGUAGUAUGCCAAUUCCCAUUUGUCCCAAAAUAACAAAACAUUAUUUUUAUCUUUAAAAUUCAUCAAAAAUACGAGUUCAUUUAGCUGUACAGACUCUUAGCAAUUCUAUUGCAAAAGGACUGCGCUUUUACAGUCUACAUCAUCCUGAAUUCAAAGAAAAUACAGCCACUGCAGAAUUCUGUGAAUGGAUGAAUUGUUUGUUUGAUGUUUUAAAUAGAAAAGAUUAUCAAAGCGGAUUAAAAGUAGGAAGUAAAGAUUAUUUGGUACAUGCUCCUAUAAGAAUCUUUACAUAAGUUGGAUGAAUGGGAAAAUCUAAUGAAGGAAGGAAUCAUCACAAACAAUGAAUUUCUUACUCGACAAACUAUGGAAGGACUUCGCAUAGGACUUUACAAUCCAUGAUAGAUAUUACGCAUUAUUUAAUCAGCGAAUUUAAUUUCUCUUGCAUUUUGUCAGGAAAUAUAAAUCAAGAUACUUUGGAGCGAUUUUUUGGUUGUGUUCGUCAAGCAGGAGGAUGUAAUGACCAUUCUGCAACACCAACUUUUUUACAAAUUUAUAAAAUUCUGUCUUCCUAUUCUAUCCUCUCUCCACCAAAAUAUGGGAAUUGCAUGUUAGAAAAAGAAGUAAAAUUGCCUUUAAUUUCGCUCAACAACAUCAAGUCUCUGUAUCAAAAAUCCAAAGAGGAAACGGAUUCAUUCAUUUCUAGUAUGAAAUCAAGAUUAAAUGAUAUUAUCACAAAUGACGAUUGGGACAUUUAUGAUAUGUCAGAGCAUGAUUAUACCACACUUGCAACUUUUGAUUGCAUUAUAUAUUUCAUCACUGCACGUCCCUUAUAGAAAUAUCAUACUAAGAAUCAUUGAUAAUUACUUAUUUUCAGUAUUAAAAAUACUGGAUAAUAAGUAAUUAUCAAUGAUUCUUAGUAUGAUAUUUCUAUAAGGGGUAUUUGCUAGCGAUUAUUAAAGUUCACGAAAUGUUCUUUAUGUAAACAAGCACUUGUUACUAAUUCCGAAGUACAUUACAGAAAAGCGAACUUGGGUGAUAUAGAUCUCUUGUUCAUCCAAAUGUAGGUUUCUACAAUUUUGUUAAAAAUUUGGAACAGGUAUUUACAAAACAUUGCUACGAGUUAAAUGUUGUAGAUGCUAUUUUAAAUAAUGUAAUUGAAUCUGAUUUAUUAACUUUUCCUUGUGAGGCUCAUAAAAUAGAUAUUAUAUCGUAUAUUGUUUAUUACUAUUUACAAAUAAGAUUAUCACAAUAUUGUCGCAACUUAAAUAAUAACAAAAAAGAUAAUCAACAUAUGAAAAAAAUAUCGAAACA